ACGAACGCUGGCGGCGUGCUUAACACAUGCAAGUCGAACGGUGAAGCGCCUUCCUUUUUGGUGGGUGUGGAUGAGUGGCGAACGGGUGAGUAACACGUGAGUAACCUGCCCCCUUCUUCUGGAUAACCGCAUGAAAGUGUAGCUAAUACGGGAUAUUCUGGGUCUGUCGCAUGAUGGGUCUGGGAAAGAUAUUGUUUCGGUGGGGGAUGGGCUCGCGGCCUAUCAGCUUGUUGGUGGGGUGAUGGCCUACCAAGGCGGUGACGGGUAGCCGGCCUGAGAGGGUGGACGGUCACACUGGGACUGAGACACGGCCCAGACUCCUACGGGAGGCAGCAGUGGGGAAUAUUGCACAAUGGGCGCAAGCCUGAUGCAGCGACGCCGCGUGAGGGAUGGAGGCCUUCGGGUUGUGAACCUCUUUCGCCAGUGAAGCAGGCCUGCCUCGUUUGUGGGUGGGUUGACGGUAGCUGGAUAAGAAGCGCCGGCUAACUACGUG
rnacentral:rRNA from 1 species